AGUACGAAAAAGCCAACACGUAUGAAACAAAAAUAUUUUUAGAUAGGUACAUGUUUCAUAGAGAAUAUUAUUGUCAUAGGAAUGCAUGUGAUUAUGCAUGCAUGCGAUUAUACUUGUAGGUCACUGUAAUUACCCAAUCAGAGGAUGUAUAACGUUUAAGCUGCGCCCAGGACCAAGAUUUUGAUGAAUUCGCGCACAUAUAAAUUUACCCCCAACGCGCCUAAAGAAGUACAACUUCAAAAAACUGGUGAUCAAAAAGAUUAUGAAAAGAUUUUGGAAAAAGGAAUGACCGAUUGUGACACCGAAGGAGUGAAAGGCGAUAAUUUGUCCAUGGUCUAUGGCUAUUUAUGACCUUAAAACCAACCAGCAUAGAGGCCGAAAGGGCUUUCUCCGCAACCCGCUAUAAUAUGUGCAGUUCUGUGCGAAGUACGUUAGACGAUAAGAUGAUAGUUAAAUAUGUUUUUGGUCUAACUUCCAAAAAUCAAAAUUAUUCAUGUUUCUGUUGUUUAGAAAUUUAGAAUAUAG
rnacentral:lncRNA from 1 species